GUGAGGAAUUUUCCGCAAUGGGCGAAAGCCUGACGGAGCAAUGCCGCGUGAAGGAUGAAGGCCUAUGGGUUGUAAACUUCUUUUCUUAGAGAAGAAUAUUGACGGUAUCUGAGGAAUAAGCAUCGGAUAACUCUGUGCCAGCAGCCGCGGUAAGACAGAGGAUGCAAGCGUUAUCCGGAAUGAUUGGGCGUAAAGCGUCUGUAGGUGGCUUCAAAAGUCUCCUGUCAAAGAUCAGGGCUUAACCCUGGGCCGGCAGGAGAAACUCUGAGGCUAGAGUUUGGUAGGGGCAGAGGGAAUUCCCGGUGGAGCGGUGAAAUGCGUAGAGAUCGGGAGGAACAACAAAGGCGAAAGCACUCUGCUGGGCCACAACUGACACUGAGAGACGAAAGCGAGGGGAGCAAAAGGGAUUAGAAACCCCGGUAGUCC
rnacentral:rRNA from 1 species